GGCUCAGGAUGAACGCUAGCGGCAGGCUUAACACAUGCAAGUCGAGGGGCAGCAUGAUGAAACUUUCGGGUUUCAUUGAUGGCGACCGGCGCAAGGGUGCGUAACGCGUGAGCAACUUGCCCUUAUCAGGGGGAUAACCGGUGGAAACGCCGACUAAUACCCCAUAGUAUCACUUUAAGGCAUCUUUUAGUGAUUAAAGAACUUCGGAAACGGAUAGGCUCGCGUGACAUUAGCUAGACGGCGGGGUAACGGCCCACCGUGGCGACGAUGUCUAGGGGUUCUGAGAGGAAGGUCCCCCACACUGGAACUGAGACACGGUCCAGACUCCUACGGGAGGCAGCAGUGAGGAAUAUUGGUCAAUGGUCUGACGACUGAACCAGCCAUGCCGCGUGAAGGUCACGGCCCUAUGGGUCUUAAACUUCUUUUGCGAGGGAGCAAUAAGGUCUACGUGUAGGCUGAUGAGAGUACCUCGCGAAUAAGCAUCGGCUAACUCCGUG
rnacentral:rRNA from 1 species